UAGCAGUUUCCUUAACUGUUUCUGUAGUCAUAUCUUGUUGAGCAGAUGAUGAAGCCGAGCUAUCCAUUGAAUGCGGUGAAGCUACAACAGCUCUGAUAAAUUGAGAAUUACGAAGAUAUUGAGAGCAUACCUUACUCAGAGAACCUCCGUCUUUCACCUUCAUUCACAUUGUAUAAACUCAAGCUACAGUGUUUAUGCAUACAGUUGAAUAUAUAUAGCUCCUGAGAGAGGAAUUCAACAAUGGUGAUUAGCUGAGUUCGUUAGGAAGGAACGGUGAAGAUUGAUCAGCUCGUUUCAGCGCUUUCUGCAGGUGUUGGUGGUGAGCGAUCCUCUGACAGAGCACUUUCCAGCUCAUCUAUGUUAUCAUCCUCCAUAGAUCUCAGCAUUUAAGUUCGCCUGCUUUUUCUGCUAGAGAUGAAUGUAAAGUUCUGUUCAUCGAUCAACAUUGGCCUCCAUGAGUUUAUUUAGGGAUGUGACCUCAACUAGUUGAUCUUUUAGGUAACUUUGGUGCUCAUGUUGUGAGUUCUUGGCUUCAUGUGGUUCUUUGGGAUGUCUGGGGGCUAAGAUCAGUUUUGGCUAGCCAGUUGCUGGUGCUUGAGCUUAAGGUUGUGAGCCUAUUAUGAGGGAGUGAGAACAACCACUUCUUAACCCUCUUUGAGGGCACAGGCAGAUGCGGCUCAUGCGCCUGAAUGAAUUGUUGAGCAAGAGUAUCAGAUUAAGAAAAAGGUUGUUGCUACCUUUCUAGUUGAGUUGCUGCACUAGAGAGCUUAUAUACAAAGAAUUACCUUUAGGAUGUGCUCUCUUUCAAAAGAGCAUAACUUAUUGUACUAUGUAUCCUCACCUGUCCAGUUUUCCUGUUGUAGAUAAAAGAGCUAAUGCAACGGCCCCAAAUUUAGAGAGUCUCAAUCUGAGCUAUGGGUGGCCCAAACCACCUGUGCUGGUUCUAUAAGGUGCGCUACAACAAGAACAAAUUGACAUGAAUGAUGAUAAGUGUGUUACAACUAUUGUUCAAAAGUAUCCAUCAGGGGAAAUACUAAUAAUGCUUAUGUGGUAUUUUAUAUUCAUCUCCUCUUCGAUGUAACCAUAAAAGACUAUAUGUUGUAUGGGAAUCUUGUAUUGAUUGAUUCAUGUUAGCACUUUACCUCCUAACAUGUUAAUAUGUUAUCUUCUUCUAUUGUCAUA